UGAGAUGAGGAAGAGACAAGGGAGGAGGCUACAAUUGAGAUGUUAAAUUAUUUUUAAAUUUUAUUUAUUACAAUUUAUUCACUUUGUAUGCCCACUGUAGCCCCCUCUGUCAUCUAUUCCCAGUCCCA
rnacentral:precursor_RNA from 1 species